rfam:Trichobilharzia regenti genome assembly, scaffold: TRE_scaffold0074865
AUCCAAUUGACGAGUCCGAAAUGGGGAGAAAUGCGCAUCCUGGAU